AGAGUUUGAUUCUGGCUCAGGAUGAACGCUAGCUACAGGCUUAACACAUGCAAGUCGAGGGGAAACGACAUCGAAAGCUUGCUUUUGAUGGGCGUCGACCGGCGCACGGGUGAGUAACGCGUAUCCAACCUGCCCACCACUUGGGGAUAACCUUGCGAAAGUAAGAUUAAUACCUGAUGGUAUCUUAAGCACACAUGUAAUUAAGAUUAAAGAUUUAUCGGUGUACGAUGGGGAUGCGUUCCAUUAGAUAGUAGGCGGGGUAACGGCCCACCUAGCCAACGAUGGAUAGGGGUUCUGAGAGGAAGGUCCCCCACAUUGGAACUGAGACACGGUCCAA
rnacentral:rRNA from 1 species